GAUGAAGAACGCAGCGAAAUGCGAUAAGUAAUGUGAAUUGCAGAAUUCAGUGAACCAUCGAAUCUUUGAACGCACAUUGCGCCCGGCAGUAAUCUGCCGGGCAUGCCUGUCCGAGCGUCAUUUCUCCCCUCGAGCGCAGCUUUCCCCCCCGGGGGAGGGCCGCGCCCGGUGUUGGGGCGCUACGGAGGAGCCCAGCGCUCCCCCGUAGGCCCCGAAAUGUAGUGGCGGUCCCGCCGCGGCGCCCCCUGCGUAGUAGUUUUACAACUCGCAUCGGGUCCCGGCGGAGGCCAGCCGUCAAACCCCCCAACUUCAAUAGUUUGACCUCGGAUCAGGUAGGGUUACUCGCUGAACUUAAGCAUAUCAAUAAGCGGAGGA
rnacentral:misc_RNA from 1 species